rnacentral:rRNA from 1 species
CGGGCUUGGCGGCGGCUUACACAUGCAGUCGAGCGGAGAGAGGUAGCUUGCUACUGAUCUUAGCGGCGGACGGGUGAGUAAUGCUUAGGAAUCUGCCUAUUAGUGGGGGACAACAUUUCGAAAGGAAUGCUAAUACCGCAUACGUCCUACGGGAGAAAGCAGGGGAUCUUCGGACCUUGCGCUAAUAGAUGAGCCUAAGUCGGAUUAGCUAGUUGGUGGGGUAAAGGCCUACCAAGGCGACGAUCUGUAGCGGGUCUGAGAGGAUGAUCCGCCACACUGGGACUGAGACACGGCCCAGACUCCUACGGGAGGCAGCAGUGGGGAAUAUUGGACAAUGGGCGCAAGCCUGAUCCAGCCAUGCCGCGUGUGUGAAGAAGGCCUUAUGGUUGUAAAGCACUUUAAGCGAGGAGGAGGCUACUUUAGUUAAUACCUAGAGAUAGUGGACGUUACUCGCAGAAUAAGCACCGGCUAACUCUGUGCCAGCAGCCGCGGUAAUACAGAGGGUGCAAGCGUUAAUCGGAUUUACUGGGCGUAAAGCGCGCGUAGGCGGCUAAUUAAGUCAAAUGUGAAAUCCCCGAGCUUAACUUGGGAAUUGCAUUCGAUACUGGUUAGCUAGAGUGUGGGAGAGGAUGGUAGAAUUCCAGGUGUAGCGGUGAAAUGCGUAGAGAUCUGGAGGAAUACCGAUGGCGAAGGCAGCCAUCUGGCCUAACACUGACGCUGAGGUGCGAAAGCAUGGGGAGCAAACAGGAUUAGAUACCCUGGUAGUCCAUGCCGUAAACGAUGUCUACUAGCCGUUGGGGCCUUUGAGGCUUUAGUGGCGCAGCUAACGCGAUAAGUAGACCGCCUGGGGAGUACGGUCGCAAGACUAAAACUCAAAUGAAUUGACGGGGGCCCGCACAAGCGGUGGAGCAUGUGGUUUAAUUCGAUGCAACGCGAAGAACCUUACCUGGCCUUGACAUAGUAAGAACUUUCCAGAGAUGGAUUGGUGCCUUCGGGAACUUACAUACAGGUGCUGCAUGGCUGUCGUCAGCUCGUGUCGUGAGAUGUUGGGUUAAGUCCCGCAACGAGCGCAACCCUUUUCCUUAUUUGCCAGCGAGUAAUGUCGGGAACUUUAAGGAUACUGCCAGUGACAAACUGGAGGAAGGCGGGGACGACGUCAAGUCAUCAUGGCCCUUACGGCCAGGGCUACCCCCGUGCUACAAUGG